CACCAGGCCGGGGUCCCAUAGCAACAGCAGCCGCCGGAGCUCAUCCCGCCUCCCCCAUGUCGUCUGCCAGCUCAGGGCGGCACAUACGCCUGUGACUCUCAUCCAGGUCCCCACCCCACUGGACAUCCGGCCCGCCUAAGCCCAGCCUCUACUAUAGGAAUCCUGGGUCGGCUGACACCGUGCCCCAGGGCAGCCGCUGUGUUCCAUUUUGCAGGUUGUGGAGUCACCAAGGGGUGGAACUGGGAUGUGAACUCAGGAAAUUUGACCCGCAGCCUCUGCUUCGCUGUCCGCAUGGGGUUGCCCACGAUCCUCAUGCAGCCCUCUCUCCACGGCCUCUGUCCAGUCCCUUCUUUGGAGUACUCCAUUUCAGAUUCUUCUAGACCUCUCUGGCCAGCGAGGAGAGAGCCGGCAGUGUCAUCCAGGUGAAGAGAAAGCCUUCACUGCCACCUGCUGGACACACAGUAGGAGCAUUUCCAGUGGACCCUGCAUCCCCAGAGAAGGAAACACCUUCUUUCCAGGCCAGGCCACAGAGAUGGAACUUUUGCUGAGACGCCUGGGCAAGAGACAGCCUCUGUCCAGUGGGAUGAAAUGGGAUCAAAGGCUCUCAGGAAGCCAUUUUUCUCCCUCAUGGAGUAAGCCACAUGCACAGGAAGCCCUCACAAUGGAAGCGUAUCCAGGGGACGGAGAGAUGCAGAAUCCUAAUGACAGCACUUGAACCCCUGGAUCCAGCUAUACCUGAACCCAUGUAACACUUCUCAUUAACAUGAGCCAAUAAAUCCCCCAUUAUGCUUAAGCCCA